rnacentral:lncRNA from 1 species
CUCAUCUUCCCACCUUCAAACUGUUCUUUUGUAUCCCAACCAGCAGCAUAUUAUAGUCCAUAAUCGACUGGUGACUUGCCAAUCAAAGUACAAGUGCUCAAAGUUCUCAGCAUGCUGCUGACAGAAUAUACAAUCAGUAGGCACCUGAAUCCCAUACUUCUGCAAUCUGUCAAUAGUAGGCAGCCUGUGAUGAGCAGCUAGCCACACUGUGAAUUUGUGUCUAGGUUGCACGUUUGUAGUCAGCAUCACAUUCUUCCAUUCUACCUUAUUAUAUCUAGGCAGCAUUGCAAAAUAAAGUUUUUGGAUCUGAUACUUGUCUAGUUUGCACAUUGAUUGUAAUCUGUUAAGGAGAUCCCCUUGAAGCUGC